GGCGCCUCCUGCCCAAGGGGCCAGAAGGGGUCACAGAGAGGAGGCUCCCCGGACGCGCUCGCUCCAGGAACGUCCUGAGCUUUUGCAACGCGUUUAACAAACUCCCAGUUCCCAGCGCCUUGGGCGCGGGAGCCCCCGCGGGGCGGCCAAGGAGAACUUUGCUCUUUUUGUGUUAAAAGAUAAAAGGACGGCGGGGCUCAUCGCUCCCUGGGGAGAGAACGCUGGAGCUGGCAGGGAGACCAUACCAAUCUACCCACGGGGCUGCUGGGAGACUAAGUGAAGCGCGCACGGGAAGCAAUCACAGUGCCGAGCACAAUGGACUGUUCGCGAACGGGUACCAUUUAGCACCAGCCUCCCCCAUAGAGACACCUCCUGCAUGGAGCCCAGGUCUGCACUUGGAGAAUCCAGAUUGCUGUGCGCGUGCAACACACAACUUCCUUUCUGCUCCUUCUCAGGAUUUCAUGCAAUGUCUGUUGGAAGCUAACUUUACCGUUUCGUCUUUAGG